rnacentral:rRNA from 1 species
GCGAAAACUUUACAAUGCUGGCAGCAGCGAUAAGGGAACCUCGAGUGCCAGGUUACAAAUCUGGCUGUCGAGAUGCCUAAAAAGCAUUUCAUAGCAAGGGCCGGGCAAGACCGGUGCCAGCCGCCGCGGUAACACCGGCGGCUCGAGUGGUAACCGUUAUUAUUGGGUCUAAAGGGUCUGUAGCCGGCCGGAUAAGUCUCUUGAGAAAUCUGGCAGCUUAACUGUCAGGCUUUCAGGAGAUACUGUCUGGCUCGAGGCCGGGAGAGGUGAGAGGUACUUCAGGGGUAGGGGUGAAAUCUUGUAAUCCUUGAAGGACCACCAGUGGCGAAGGCGUCUCACCAGAACGGACCUGACGGCAAGGGAUGAAAGCUAGGGGCACGAACC